rnacentral:rRNA from 1 species
AGCAGCAGCCGCGGUAAUACGUAGGGUGCGAGCGAUAAUCGGAAUUACUGGGCGUAAAGCGUGCGCAGGCGGUUUUGUAAGACAGGCGUGAAAUCCCCGGGCUCAACCUGGGAAUGGCGCUUGUGACUGCAAAGCUAGAGUGCGGCAGAGGGGGAUGGAAUUCCGCGUGUAGCAGUGAAAUGCGUAGAUAUGCGGAGGAACACCGAUGGCGAAGGCAAUCCCCUGGGCCUGCACUGACGCUCAUGCACGAAAGCGUGGGGAGCAAACAGGAUUAGAUACCCGUGUAGUCCCUGUCUCUUAUAC